rnacentral:rRNA from 1 species
AGUGAACGCUGGCGGUAGGCCUAACACAUGCAAGUCGAACGGCAGCACAGGAGAGCUUGCUCUCUGGGUGGCGAGUGGCGGACGGGUGAGGAAUACAUCGGAAUCUACUCUGUCGUGGGGGAUAACGUAGGGAAACUUACGCUAAUACCGCAUACGACCUACGGGUGAAAGCAGGGGACCUUCGGGCCUUGCGCGAUUGCAUGAGCCGAUGUCGGAUUAGCUAGGUGGCGGGGUAAAGGCCCACCAAGGCGACGAUCCGAAGCUGGUCUGAGAGGAUGAUCAGCCACACUGGAACUGAGACACGGUCCAGACUCCUACGGGAGGCAGCAGUGGGGAAUAUUGGACAAUGGGCGCAAGCCUGAUCCAGCCAUACCGCGUGGGUGAAGAAGGCCUUCGGGUUGUAAAGCCCUUUUGUUGGGAAAGAAAUCCAGCUGGCUAAUACCCGGUUGGGAUGACGGUACCCAAAGAAUAAGCACCGGCUAACUUCGUGCCAGCCGCCGCGGUAA